CACAUUUCCCCUUACUUUUCAGGAGGGAAAAAGUGAGUCUUAUAGAGCAAAAAAUAUGGUACUUACCUAUCCUUACUUUUCAAUAACACUAAGAAAACAGCAACCCCAAAUCAGUGUGGUAUAUAUAAAGUCAAUAUAAAAUCAAAAGUUAAAAUAUAAGAAAAUAAAACUGGGUCACAAGGUAAGCUUGUGUAAAUAAAAAAAAAUGUUGUAGGAUUGUUUCGGUGCCUAAUGAUAGCUAUUGCAGUGGUUACAAUAAAUGUAUAUGGCACAAAGUGUGGGGACCCAGGAAAGGGCCUUUUCAGAUGUGUGUGUGGGGGGGGUCCUUGUACAUAGAGCUGCCUCCCGUUUCUUAUUUAUUUAUUUGUUAAAUUUAAAUGCAACCCAUAUAUAGUGGGGGGAGGUUUUUCAAAACAGUGGAGAAAAGGUAAAGAAAAACGGGUAUGGUACAGUUAGCAAUUACAAUUUUUAACUUACUGUAUUCUGUAUAAAUGAGUUCCAUUUCUUUAUUGUGUUAAUUGGCUAGUUAACAAAAAUCUUUUUCAUCAAGUGAUGAAACAGAAGGAGAUGAAGAGAGACCUGCCUGAAGAAGGAAAGCCCUGGCUGCUGAUGCUUCUGUUAGUAGGGGUUUUUUAAAGCGAUUUGUUGUGUACUUUAACAAUUGUAUUAUUUUAUGUAUUAAAUAUUAAAUGUAUUAAAGCCCUGUGGCUUGUAAAUAAAUAAGUUACUACAUAAGUACAUAAAUGCAUAUGUAAAUAAAAAAGUUUUAUUUGUUGCAUUGGACUGUAACCCUCAUUCCUUAUCCAUUUGGGAUUUGCCUCUGCAUUAGCUUUGGUGAAGCAAUAACCAUGUGCGGUCUGUUUAUUUUCAGGACCUUUUGACUUGCAUACAUAUAUGCAACCUGCUCAUCUUGUUCCUCAGGUUCACGAAAAAUGAAAAAUUGCCAGCUAUACUCCUGUACACUGUUGCUCCUCUGUCUAGGUUGGCUUCAAGAGCAUCCAUGACAGGGAUAAAUGAAUUUUCCCUAAACUGGUCUCUUGCAGAAAGUUCGUCCAAGGUUUCGGGUGCUGUCUCAUCAUUUUUUAUUUUUUUAUUCUUUGUAUUCUUUUGACAGUUUUGUACCCUACAUCCGGUAGAGUAAAUUUGGCUUGCUGUUAAAUUUCAUCAAAAUUAGCCUGAGUGUUUGAUACAAACUGUAACAGUGAACUGUAAAUAUUUGCACAUGUGCUCAAAUGAAAUUUGUGAAGUUCUGAGUGACUUGCUAACUUUAUGAAAUUGUUCUAGCAAAUGUGUCCAAAAAUGAAGCAUGAAGAUGAAUUCAAAUUCUUCCAUUUUCUAAAGAAAAUUUUAGCCUAUUGUCUAUUAUCACCUUUUUUAGUUUCAUCACAGUAAAUACAACCCAGGGCUUCAACAAUGUAAGCAUAACUUCCACUAAUAGCUGAGGUAGCUUUGGCAAGAGCCUCCCAUCUUAUGUCUGGCAAAUCUUUAGGGUCAAGAGGCAAGAUUUUUUUAACACUGCCCAUCUUUUUGUAGAAGUGCAGAAAAAUAAAAAUAAAGCUCAUUUAUUGUGGCAAAAAAAAUAUCACUGCAUCCAGGCAUGAAAGGACGAGUCAACUGUGGUUCGUCCAACUAAAAUGGAAUGUAGUCUGUGAAACCUUAUAGCAUAACAAAAAUUGAUAGUCUUUAAGGUGACACAAAACUCUUUGUUGCUAUUGCAAGCAAUCUACAUGAGAUGUUAUCAGAGCAUGAAUGAUAGCAGGAAAAAUCUCAAUCAGUGACAAGAGGAUGCAGCCUGCUGAACAAGUGUUUAACUAAUUUUGAUAACGACAGUCACAAUGCCAGCAGCCUCAACUGUUGUCCUCCUGCAGUCAAAUGCUGGUGAAUGGUCAGCGAAUGAAUGGCUUGAGAGACAGUGCCACCUAAUCGCUCUUCGAUUCCUCAUGUCUCAGCCGUGCUUUUUUCAUUUGUGGUGCUGGCUCCCCAUGACGACCGCAUUUGGUGAUUCACUUGUUGAUGUUAGUCAUUCAAUCAAUACUGACUUAUCACAUUUUGGAAAGUGAAAUAAGCUCAAAAUUGCCCAAGACAUUUUGCCGCCUGAGGCAAAGGACAAGAUCGCAGCACCACCUCACCUUCCAUGUAGAGACUGGACCAGAAGUUGAAUCUUACUUCAAUCCAGGCAACAGGAUAAUGUCCCCAUGUGCACCUGAGUGCAGUAGGCUAGGUUAAGGGAUGCAUGACAAGCCUGUGGCUUAGUGUGCUUUUAAUAUGAGUUUUAAACUGGUCAUACUGUCUCUGUUAUAAGGGAAAGUUGUUUUCUGUCUUUCAGUGAUUAAUAUUGUCUUGUUUGUAAGCCAUCCAGAGACUUUUUUUUUAAAGGUGGUCACAUAAAUUUAAUAAAUGGCAUGAAUACACCAUA